GCUGGAUUCGCUAGUAAUCGCGCAUCAGCCAUGGCGCGGUGAAUACGUUCCCGGGCCUUGUACACACCGCCCGUCAAGCCAUGAAAGCCGGGGGGUACCUGAAGUACGUAACCGCAAGGAUCGUCCUAGGGUAAAACUGGUAAUUGGGGCUAAGUCGUAACAAGGUACC
rnacentral:rRNA from 1 species